rnacentral:rRNA from 1 species
AGAUUGAACGCUGGCGGCAUGCCUUACACAUGCAAGUCGAACGGCAGCACGGGAGCAAUCCUGGUGGCGAGUGGCGAACGGGUGAGUAAUAUAUCGGAACGUGCCCAGUCGUGGGGGAUAACGCAGCGAAAGCUGUGCUAAUACCGCAUACGAUCUAUGGAUGAAAGCGGGGGAUCGCAAGACCUCGCGCGAUUGGAGCGGCCGAUAUCAGAUUAGCUAGUUGGUAGGGUAAAAGCCUAACCAAGGCGACGAUCUGUAGCUGGUCUGAGAGGACGACCAGCCACACUGAACUGAGACACGUCAGACUCCGUACGGAGCAGCGAGGUGGGUAAUUUGGACAGUGGGCGAC